rnacentral:rRNA from 1 species
GACGAACGCUGGCGGCGUGGAUUAGGCAUGCAAGUCGAACGGUAUCAUCCUUUCGGGGGUGAGAGAGUGGCGAACUGGUGAGUAACACGUAGGUUAUCUACCCUCAAGACGGGGACAACCCAGGGAAACUUGGGCUAAUACCGGAUGUGAGCAACUUUUAGUUGUUUGAAAGGUGGCGUAAGCUGUCGCUUGGGGAUGAGCCUGCGUCCUAUUAGUUAGUUGGUGAGGUAACGGCUCACCUAGGCAAUGAUAGGUAGGCGGCCUUAACGGGUGGUCGCCCACACUGGGAUUGAGAUACGGCCCAGACUCCUACGGGAGGCAGCAGUCGAGAAUAGUCUACAAUGGUCGGAAGACUGAUAGUGCGACGCCGCGUGAACGAUGAAUCCCUUCGGGGUGUAAAGUUCUUUUAUAUGUGAGCAGUGCUUCUUAUAUUAACAGUAUGGGGAGAGAUAUUAGCAUAUGAAUAAGCAACGGCUAACUCCGUGCCAGCAGCCGCGGUAAACU